rnacentral:rRNA from 1 species
ACGGGUGAGUAACGCGUGGGAAUCUACCCAUCUCUACGGAACAACUCCGGGAAACUGGAGCUAAUACCGUAUACGUCCUUCGGGAGAAAGAUUUAUCGGAGAUGGAUGAGCCCGCGUUGGAUUAGCCAGUUGGUGGGGUAAAGGCCUACCAAGGCGACGAUCCAUAGCUGGUCUGAGAGGAUGAUCAGCCACACUGGGACUGAGACACGGCCCAGACUCCUACGGGAGGCAGCAGUGGGGAAUAUUGGACAAUGGGCGAAAGCCUGAUCCAGCCAUGCCGCGUGAGUGAUGAAGGCCCUAGGGUUGUAGAGCUCUUUCAACGGUGAAGAUAAUGACGGUAACCGUAGAAGAAGCCCCGGCUAACUUCGUGCCAGCAGCCGCGGUAAUACGAAGGGGGCUAGCGUUGUUCGGAAUUACUGGGCGUAAAGCGCACGUAGGCGGAUACUUAAGUUAGGGGUGAAAUCCCAGAGCUCAACUCUGGAACUGCCUUUAAUACUGGGUAUCUCGAGUCCGGAAGAGGUGAGUGGAAUUCCGAGUGUAGAGGUGAAAUUCGUAGA